CGCUCUUUGAUUUAACAGUAUAAAGAGUCGAGCCUGCCCAGUGACACAUGUUUAACGGCCGCGGUACUCUGACCGUGCAAAGGUAGCAUAAUCAUUUGCCUUAUAACUGAAGGCUAGUAUGAAUGGUUUGACGAAAGCAAAGCUGUCUCCUUUUAAUUUUAUAGAACUUGAUUUUUAGGUGAAGAAGCCUAAAUGAAAUUGAAAGACAAGAAGACCCUAUCGAGCUUUAAAAAAUUUUAGUAAGACAAAGUAGCUAUAAAAACUAACUAUAGUGAAAUAUUUUAGUUGGGGCGACUAAGGAACAAAAAAGCUUCCAGUUUCAAUAUUAUACAUAUAAGUCUUGAUCCAAAAUUCUUGAUUAAAAAAAUUAGUUACCGUAGGGAUAACAGCAUAAUCUUUUUUAAGAGUUCUUAUCGAAAAAAAGGUUUGUGACCUCGAUGUUGGACUAGAAUAUCCUAAAUGGUGCAGAAGCCUUUAAGGGUUGGUCUGUUCGACCACUAAUAUUCUACGUGAUCUGAGUUCAGACCGG
rnacentral:rRNA from 1 species